CAGCCCGGGGGCCAGGCUGCCUCCCCUUGGCUGCCUCCACGGACGCCUAGCUCCCUACCCCACGAGGCUGGCCUCCAAUUCAUCUGUGUGGGGCGGGGGUGGGGGGCUGCAGGUGGAGACAGCCAGCCUGCUGAUUCGAGGAACAGCCCGGCAGCCCAGGCGGGACCCGGAGGCCUCCACUGUAGUGCCUGGCUCUCCAAGUGCCUCUUGCACCUGCCCUGUCCCCAGAGUCGCCUCGUGGGCAGGACUUGAGCCCAAGAGUUCGCCUCAGUCUAAUGCGUGUCUCAGCCUGGGCACUGGAGGCUGGGGGCCAGACAAGGCUUCGUUAGCAGGGGCUGCCUUGGGUACUGAGUGGGGAACAGCACCCUUGGAUGCCAGAAGCUCCACCUCUCCCACUGACAACCCUCAAUGCCUCUCCUGUUGCCAGCUGGGCUUUCGUAGAUAAGGAUACUGCCGGGAGAGAGAGGAGGGGCCUUGUCCGAGACCCCUGAACAAGUUGAGGCUGGCGGGGAUGGAAGCCCAGGGCUCAGCGGGCAGCACCUCCAAGCUCUUUAGUUGUUCCCCCCACCCCACCACACACUCACACUUUCUGCCCCCUCUCCUGGCACGUGUGCCCAUCUGCCUUCUGAAGCUAGAUAGGACUCCAGGUCCCAGCGAGCAGUGAUGGCCGUGACAGCCCGGCCUCCUGGUGGGGCUGCGCAGUGCUGCAGCCAUUGGGAGCCGACCGGCACUUCCUGGGAAGGUUUAACGGAGCGGCGGCCUCUGACCCAGCAGUCCCGCCCCUAGGUGAAAACACCUGACCCCGUGAAGCCUGCCCAGGGGUGCAGCGCGGCAGGUGCAGCCGCCUGUCAUGCUGGCAUCCUACUUCCAGUCCAGCUCCCUGCUGGUGCACCGGGGAAAGCAGUGGAAUCUGGCUCAAGUAGUUGGGUCUCUGCCAACCAUGUGGGAGACCCAGAUGGAGUUAUGGGAUCCUGGCCUUUGUAGCCAUUUGGGGAGUGGACCAGUGGAUGGAAGCCCCCACCCCCCCAACACACACACUGUGGUCAUUCUGCUUUUUAGAUAAAUCUUUGGAGUCUGAAACUCCAUCUGAAUCUCCCAUGUGGAUGGCAGGGGCCCAAGCACUUGGGCCAUUCUCCACUGCUUUCCCAGGCCAUUAGCAGGGAGCUGGAUCAGAAGUGGAGGAGCCAGGACUCGAACUGGCACCCACAUGGGAUGCUGGCAUCAUAGGCCAUGGCUUAACUAACCUCUGUGCCACAAUGCUGACUCCCAAAAUAAAUCCUGAAAGGAACGAAAACCUUGCACAGGAACGUUCAUCCCAGCCUUAAGGUGGGAGCAGCUCGAAGUCUGUCACUUGAGUGGAUGAACACCGUGCAGCAGACUCACACGGUAUUAUUAUUACUGUUAAUAUGUAGUAACAAUAUUAAUAUUACUAGGCCGCAAGAAGGAACAAAGUGUUUUUAAAGUUUUGUUUACUUAUGUAUUGGUUUGGAGAGACUGAUGGAAACAGAGAUCUUCCAUCCACUGGUUCACUCCCCAAAUGCCUGCAAUAUUGGGGACUGGCCCAGGCUGAAGCCAGGAGCCGGGAACUCCAUGCAGGUCUCCCAAGGACUCAAGUCCUUGGGUCAUCAUCCACCGCCUUCGCAGUGGCAUUAGCAGGGAGCUGGAUUGAAAAUGGCACUCCCUGGCCGGCGCCGCGGCUCACUAGGCUAAUCCUCCACCUAGCGGCACCGGCACACUGGGUUCUAGUCCCGGUCGGGGCACCAGAUUCUGUCCCGGUUGCCCCUCUUCCAGGCCAGCUCUCUGCUGUGGCCCGGGAGUGCAGUGGAGGAUGGCCCAAGUGCUUGAGCCCUGCACCCGCAUAGGAGACCAGGAGAAGCACCUGGCUCCUGGCUUCAGAUCAGCGUGAUGUGCCGGCCGCAGCAGCCAUUGGAGGGUGAAUCAACGGUAAAGGAAGACCUUUCUCUCUGUCUCUCUCUCUCACUAUCCACUCUGUCUGUCCAAAAAAAAAAAAAAAAAAAAAAAAAAGAAAGAAAGAAAGAAAAAGAACAAAAGAAAGUGGCACUCCCACAGGGGAAGUGGGCACCCCAGGAGGCAGCUCAACCUCGGUGCCACAACGCCCACCCAAGAGAUCGGUUCUGAUUUUUGCUACAACCCGAUCCUCAGAAAAAUGCACUAAGUGAAAGAAGCCAGUCGCCAAGGGCCACGUCCUACUUCUGUGAGAUGUCCAGGGCGGGCAAAUUCACAGAGGCAGAGGGCAGGCUGGUGGCUGCCGGCGGCUGGGGCGAGGAGAGACCAAGAGGAAGCCUGGUGAUGGUUACGGCGUUUCUGUUCGCGGUGCUGAAAAUGAUGUAGAAUUGAUCGUGGUGAUGUUGCACAACUUUGUGGCCACACUAAAAACCCUUGAGUUACACUCUGUAAGUGGUGACUCGUGUGGUAUGGGAGUUGGACCCCAAUAACAUGAUGCUUUUAAGCUGGGGGGGGGCAUGUGCAGGCUUUCGGAGGCCACGGAGCCUGCCCCAGCCCACACCCCACCCCGUGUGCCCGUUCCUUCAGGCGCCCUUAGCACAUCAUGCCCCUGCCCCGUCGAUGCUCCUCCCUUUCAGAGGCUGAACUGGGUCCUCCCUGUGUGGGAGACCCAGGUUCAACUGCAACCCCGGGACUUUCUGGCUCGGUAGCCCUGGGGAGGUCCCUUGCCCGAGCCUCAGUUAGCUCACCUGGGGAAGCGAUGAGUACGAGCGAGGUGGGCAAGAAGACGCCCCCUCCAGGCGGCCACUACUGUUCCUCUGCUCUGAAAACAAGCCCACCGGCACCUGAGGUUGCACAGGCCUCUGCCAGGCCUCCCUGGGCUCCAGGGCAGUGGUCCAGCCGACUCUUGCUCCUGGAACUGUCCUCCAGAGCCUUCUAGGCUCUCCUGGGCUGGGAGGAACCCCAUUCUUUCACUCCCCAAAAGGGCUCCCUUCAGCUCCCUGGGCUGUGACAGGGAAGCUCAGACUAGCCCCUCAAAUCUGGGUUCUCCCACCUGCUCGAGGCAGCCAGAGCCCUCUGGUGGAGGCUAGAUGAGGCCCCUUGGGACCUUGUUGAAGUCACUGAUGAGGGAGGGGUUUGCACGAGGCCAGAAAGCUGAGCAGGGCUGUGGCCCCUGGUGUAUCCCAGUGUGACGAGAGGCCAGGCUGGCCCUCAGCCCUCCUCUCAAGCCCACUGCCCAUGCCCAUGUCCUUAUCUCCAACUCUCCUCCUGGUCAUAGGUCUCAGGGCUCCUUCCUCCCCACCUUCAGUAUGCACUGUUUCUCUAAGAAGUCACCCAUCCCCUCCCCCACACUCAUCUGUUGGUUUCCAGUGAUGAUAACCCCUCUUCCCAUUGUAGAGGGAGCACAUGACUCUAAACUGGCAAUCAAAUCUAUGGAUUUACUGGUCCUGGUGAUUGGUUCAUGGAUGAGCACAUGACCGAAGCUGGGCCAAUGAGAUCCUUCCCUGGGACUUUUUUCUGGCACAGCCAAGGAAUGGCAGUGGUCUUUCCCCAGCCCCAAGCUGGUGUUAAGCUGGGAGAGUUAAGCCUGGGGGGCGGGCGAUAGCCAUUCUGGGCCACCAUGUGGUCAAAUUCUACUUAAGAAGAGAGUGAAGAUCGAGUGACAUCCUUUGAGGCCCGGAUUCCUGCGUGCUUAACGUUAGACGUCGCAGUUAAAGCAGCUAAUCAGUCUCUCUUCUUUUCUUUCCCUUUCUUCAAAACUCGAAGUCGCCGGAAGCUCACUUCUACCGGUUGUCGCUGAAGACCCAGGCCAUCCACACGGCAGCUCCAGCCAGUGUCUCCAUUCCCCUGCUGCGUCCAGAGGUGUCCAGUUGUGGCAGAGCUACAGGAGCGGAGGGGUAAACCCUUCACGUUAUCACCCCAAAAUAUGAGAUGCUGCUUCGCAUCUCUGGGGCCCUCGGGGUGGCUCUCAUGCCCCAGCCCCCUCCAGCUUCUGCACAGCAGGGACUGUAACCACGGAUGAAGUCUGCCCGUUUCCGGGUUCUGAGGAUCGCCCUUGGACUGUGUACUGUCAGGAGAUGAGUUUUUAAUGAGAGGCCAAGCGUGCUUGAUUGCUGCAGUCUGUGAAGUUCCUGACACCAGCGAGCUGUCCCCUGGCUGCAGCAGGGAGGAUGGGGCGGAGCUUGCUAGGAUGGACACCUUGGGCCCUGCCCCCUUCCGGCUGCUGACUAGAACCUGCCUCUUACCUAGAUGCCCCUGCGAAUCACGCACACGGACCAGGACAAAACGAGGCCCCCGUGAGAACAAUGAGGACGCGGGACCCCGCGCGAGGCCCCCGUGGGAACAAUGAAGACGCGGGACCCCGCGCGAGGCCCCCGUGGGAACAACCACCAAGAAUCCCAAGAUGGUGACAAUGAAGCCGGGUGCUUCCGAUGGGGGGGGGGGCAGCGUGUGGGACUGCACAGGUGCCACGGCCAUGACCUUGAGCACGGAAGGAAACAGAGCACCCUGGACAGGUCGUGCUAUCCAGUUCCCUGUGGGAGUUCUUAUUGUCAAGUCUUGUAAUUAAAAAGCUCCAACCUCUCA